rnacentral:rRNA from 1 species
ACAGGUGGUGCAUGGUUGUCGUCAGCUCGUGUCGUGAGAUGUUGGGUUAAGUCCCGCAACGAGCGCAACCCUCGUCCUAUGUUGCCAGCGGGUCAUGCCGGGACUCAUGGGAGACUGCCGGGGUCAACUCGGAGGAAGGUGGGGAUGACGUCAAAUCAUCAUGCCCCUUAUGUCUUGGGCUUCACGCAUGCUACAAUGGCCGGUACAAAGGGCUGCGAUACCGCGAGGUGGAGCGAAUCCCAGAAAGCCGGUCUCAGUUCGGAUUGGGGUCUGCAACUCGACCCCAUGAAGUCGGAGUCGCUAGUAAUCGCAGAUCAGCAACGCUGCGGUGAAUACGUUCCCGGGCCUU